rnacentral:rRNA from 1 species
GAAUUGCACUGCUCUGGCUGAACCUUUCCUUCUGACGAACUAUUGUGCUAUUCAUUUAGUGCGAUAGGGAAUCAGGACUUUUACUUUGAAAAAAUUAGAGUGUUUAAAGCAGGCUUACGCUUGAAUACAUUAGCAUGGAAUAAUAGAAUAGGACUUUGGUUUUAUUUUGUUGGUUUCUAAGACCGAAGUAAUGAUUAAUAGGGAUAGUUGGGGACAUUAGUAUUUAGUCGU